rnacentral:rRNA from 1 species
AUUGAACGCUGGCGGCAGGCCUAACACAUGCAAGUCGAGCGGAUGAAGAGAGCUUGCUCUCUGAUUCAGCGGCGGACGGGUGAGUAAUGCCUAGGAAUCUGCCUGGUAGUGGGGGACAACGUUUCGAAAGGAACGCUAAUACCGCAUACGUCCUACGGGAGAAAGUGGGGGAUCUUCGGACCUCACGCUAUCAGAUGAGCCUAGGUACGAUUAGCUAGUUGGUGAGGUAAAGGCUCACCAAGGCGACGAUCGUUAACUGGUCUGAGAGGAUGAUCAGUCACACUGGAACUGAGACACGGUCCAGACGCCUACGGGAGGCAGCAGUGGGGAAUAUUGGACAAUGGGCGAAAGCCUGAUCCAGCCAUGCCGCGUGUGUGAAGAAGGUCUUCGGAUUGUAAAGCACUUUAAGUUGGGAGGAAGGGCAGUAAGUUAAUACCUUGCUGUUUUGACGUUACCGACAGAAUAAGCACCGGCUAACUUCGUGCCAGCCGCCGCAGUAAGAC